GCCGGAUCCGUAUUAUGCGGCUCCUUAUGGUGUUCCUCCCCCUGGAUCAAAGGAUUACCCGGCUCCGCCACAACCUUACGGCGGAUCAGGAUCGAGGGAUUACCCUGCUCCGCCUGCAGGAUCGAGGGAUUACCCUGCUCCGCCGCAACCUUACGGUGGCGGAUCAGGAUCAUAUGGUGCUCCGGCUUCCCCUUAUCCUUCUCCUGCUCCUGCCGCUGCUCCUUACGCCGCUCCGCCGUCUGGUUACCCGUACAGCUCGGCUCCGGCUUACGGUCAAUCACCAAAUUACGGUUCCA
rnacentral:lncRNA from 1 species